GGAUUUUUCUGAUCUUCUCUUAGGGUUUGAAUCAUUUAGAUUGAAAAUCACUAUCAGUGUAUCACCAUCUCUAUCAGAAUUGUGAUUUGAUCUAUAUGUUCAGUGGCGUGAAGAAGUGAAGAUGACCACAUCAAAUGAAACUCCAACUACAAAUGCAACU